rnacentral:rRNA from 1 species
CUACGGGAUGCACCAGUGGGGAAUAUUGCGCAAUGGGGGAAACCCUGACGCAGCAACGCCGCGUGAAGGAAGAAGGUUUUCGGAUUGUAAACUUCUUUGGUCAGGGAAGAGAAAGGACAGUACCUGAAGAACAAGCCACGGCAAACUACGUGCCAGCAGCCGCGGUAAUACGUAGGUGGCGAGCGUUGUCCGGAAUUACUGGGUGUAAAGGGCGAGUAGGCGGGGAUAAAAGUCAUGUGUGAAAUACCGUAAACAGAGUACGGAAAUGCAUGUGAAACUAAAUCUCUUGAGUACUGGAGAGGAAAGCGGAAUUCCUAGUGUAGCGGUGAAAUGCGUAGAUAUUAGGAGGAACACCAGUGGCGAAGGCGGCUUUCUGGACAGUAACUGACGCUGAGGAGCGAAAGCGUGGGGAGCAAACAGGAUUAGAUACCCUCGUAGUC